rnacentral:ncRNA from 1 species
ACUCUGGAGAAGCUCAGGGCCGCAAGGUCUGUGAGUGCCGAAGGUGCAAAGCCACGUUGCUGUGGCCGAAUCUCUCAGGCAAAAGGACGGAGAC